AGGUUGACUUGGGAUACUCCUAUUUCCAGGUGCUACAGGUCUAUGCCACCAAACCCGGCAAGAACAUUUUUGUUUUCUUGUGGUGCUGGGGGUCUGAACCCAGAGUUUCACUCAUGUUUGUCAAGUAUUCUGUCACUGUGCCCCCCUCAACCCACUCUGACCCCUUCGGAUGAAGAGGCCAAGGCUCCAGGGAUGGUACUUUCCUCCCCUGAAGUACAGUGGCGCUCAAUUCGCUCCCCUCCAUCACCCAGAACAUGAAGAGUCAGUUAAGCGUUUGUGCGAGGGUUUCAAAGCUGUGGAGUCCUGCUUGGAGUGAAUCCCAGGACUCUGCUGGCCAGGGUCAUUCUAUGAGAGCCAAUGUCGCCCAGGGCCGUGAUCCAUUGGCUCAUAACUCAGUCUAGACGAGUGGUUGCAAGCUUUGCCCUUAGUUGUCCCACAAGGGGAAACCCUUGGGCAAUCUAAGAUGUGGACAGGAGGCAUAUUUUCUAAAAGUAUCAAAUUUGCCAGCCAAGAAUUGGUUUGAAAGCUGUAACAUACUAAACUGGAGGGACUCUGACAACUUCUUGAAGCUGCCCGCCACCUACUCAGGUGACAAAGGGUUGUGAAGAUUAACUGAGUUAAUUCAUGUGCAAAUACUUAGAACAGUUCCUGGCAAGUAUCAAGUACUCGAGAAAUGUUUUCUAUCCCUUUUAUGAGCUUUGGAGAUGGUAGUCCCUGCUGUUCUGAAACCGUUUCCCAUCAGAGCGCUGGCCAAGUGUGGAGGAGCCCAUGGCUGAGGCUCUCAGAGGAGGCAAACAUCCCUCAAGGUCCUCGUUUCUCUGCUGCAAACACUUGGAAGACUCUUCAGCCUUCUCUUUAGCAACUCACCUAUUUUACCUUAACCCUGUGUUUCAAAUCCUGGAGAGGGAAAAUUUGUGCUAAAAAAAAAAAAAAAAAAAAAAGAGUUAGUGAGGCCUGGACCACGCAUCGCUAAGGCAAAUGUUUCCAGUAA